ensembl:misc_RNA Metazoa_SRP Metazoan signal recognition particle RNA
GCUGGGUGUGGUGUUGCAUGCCUGUAAUCCCAGCUACUAGGGAGGCUGAGGCAGGAGAAUUGCUUGAACCUGGGAAGUGGAGUUUGCAGUGAGCCAAGAUUGUGCCACUGGAAGCCAGCCUGGGUGAUAGAGCAGGACCCUGUCUCAA